GCAGUGGUGGUUCAGUGGUAGAGUUCUCGCCUUCCAUGCUGGAGACCCAGGUUUGAUUCCUAGCCAAAGCA
rnacentral:tRNA from 1 species